rnacentral:rRNA from 1 species
GUACACUCCUGCGGGAGGCAGCAGUGGGGAAUUUUGGACAAUGGGCGAAAGCCUGAUCCAGCCAUGCCGCGUGCAGGAUGAAGGCCUUCGGGUUGUAAACUGCUUUUGUACGGAACGAAACGGCCUUUUCUAAUAAAGAGGGCUAAUGACGGUACCGUAAGAAUAAGCACCGGCUAACUACGUGCCAGCAGCCGCGGUAAUACGUAGGGUGCAAGCGUUAAUCGGAAUUACUGGGCGUAAAGCGUGCGCAGGCGGUUAUGUAAGACAGUUGUGAAAUCCCCGGGCUCAACCUGGGAACUGCAUCUGUGACUGCAUAGCUAGAGUACGGUAGAGGGGGAUGGAAUUCCGCGUGUAGCAGUGAAAUGCGUAGAUAUGCGGAGGAACACCGAUGGCGAAGGCAAUCCCCUGGACCUGUACUGACGCUCAUGCACGAAAGCGUGGGGAGCAAACAGGAUUAGAUACCCCAGUAGUCCCAU